UUUCCUGCUGACUUCCCACUGCCCUGUUUACACGUGCCGUAUUCAAGCAAACUCGCUUCUGACAGUUUCCAAACCUAAAAUACAACAUGCAGAUCUGCGAUUCUCCGUGGGUGGUACUUGCUUCCUCAUGGCUAGAGAUCUUCAGCAGUAAAUGAAGGUUCCCUGACCCGUGAAUCCUGACUGAAGGAGAAACAGCAUUAUAUAGUGACCACUUGAGUUGGAGCACACACAGCGCCCCGGAGAACCUCCUCCCGGGACACGCUUUCCCUGAUGAAAGUGGUCCAAUGCAAUCAACUUGCCACCAGGUAGCUGGCUGGUCACCCUGGGGAAUGGUGCCAUAUUGGAUUCUGAUGCUGGCCAAUGGGACACUCAGCAGUGGUUCAUAGCUUGCUUGGACUUGAGCCCAACUCUGGUUCCAACAGCUGAAUAAAUAAAUAAACAUGGGAAAAGGAGCAAGCCACCUCUACAGAAAAAUUCCAAUUAAUGAAUGCAGACAGAAAGAGGGAAACAGAAAAUCACCAUUGGAACAUCACAGCGAUAUUGCUGCAGGCAAUAUUCAUGGAUGAAUGCCAACUAUUUAUUAAUCACUAUGAUGGUUUUAACAUAUGUCCACAAAUUAUUUGAUAUUUCUCUUUCCAGGAGGUGAAGCUUAAUUUCCCUUCUGUUGAGUGUAAGCUGGAAUUAAUGACCCAUUUCUACGAAAUAGUGAAAAGAAAGGGAAAAAUAGUGACUCUGCAGUAGAGGAACCAGGCAGGCACGAAUGCGACAAAGGUUAAUGUCACCAUGAAUAAGCCGUGUUAACCCAUUAUCUCAUUAUACAUGACACAAUGUAAUGAGACAGUCACAGCACCUCUGUACUUGUCCUUCCAAAAAGCUAUUCCUCCUCAAGUCUUCCCAGAAACCCCAGCUUAUCGUGGGAAAACAUUAGACGAACCCAAAUCAGGGGCCAUUUUAUAAAAUACCUGACUGGGGCUCUUCAAAAGCAUCAGGACAACAAAGAACAGAUUGAUAAACUAUCUCAUUGUGAAAAAAAAAAUGCAAACCUUAGGAAUCACGGUCACUACAUGCAAUGUGGAAUCCUGGGAUGGCAGUGGAAAAACGAGUUACAUGUCAGUCAAGCCUGCAGUUUGGUCGAUCAUAAUGCAUCAGUGUUAAUUACUUAGUAUUGGUAACUGUACCGUGAUUAUGUUAGAUAACAUUAGGGGAAACCGAGUCAAGCCUAUUUGGGAACUCUGUGCCU